rnacentral:rRNA from 1 species
UACAGAGGGGGCAAGCGUUGUUCGGAAUUACUGGGCGUAAAGGGCGCGUAGGCGGCCUGCUAAGUCGAACGGGGAAUCCCCGGGCUCAACCUGGGAACUGCGUCCGAUACUGGAUGGCUUGAAUCCGGGAGAGGGAUGCAGAAUUCCAGGUGUAGCGGUGAAAUGCGUAGAUAUCUGGAGGAAUACCGGUGGCGAAGGCGGCAUCCUGGACCGGCAUUGACGCUGAGGAGCGAAAGCCAGGGGAGCAAACGGG